CAGGGAAGCCGGCGACCGAAGCCCCGGUGAACGGCGGCCGUAACUAUAACGGUCCUAAGGUAGCGAAAUUCCUUGUCGGGUAAGUUCCGACCCGCACGAAAGGCGUAACGAUCUGGGCACUGUCUCGGAGAGAGGCUCGGUGAAAUAGACAUGUCUGUGAAGAUGCAGACUACCUGCACCUGGACAGAAAGACCCUAUGAAUCUUUACUGUUCCCUGGGA